rnacentral:lncRNA from 1 species
GAAGGUUUCGUUGACCCAGCCUCAUCCUGUAGUUUAUUUGUGCCUCCUGCAACAGUAGUACUAAGUGGACCUGGAACACUCGAGACUGGCGAUGGAGCAUAACGACCAUCAAAAGGAGGUUUUUGACCCACCGUAACAACAUCUUCGUGAUAUCUUUGUAAAUAACAAAGCAUUGCUCUCUCCCACGUGCUCAUUUUCUUCGGCUUAUCAUGAGGGCCAACUAUAAUUUUCCCCUUGCUGCGAGAGGAACGACGAUCGCCCCCACCAUCACCACUACCUCCAACAGCAGUAGCCAUCUCUAUGUACCACAAUUUAUUUAGCUCAUAUUUGCAAAUGACUAAACUAUGAACAAAUUAUAUUUUUUCCCCACAAUCUAUUUAGCUCAAACAUAACAUAUAAAUGAAACGUUUCUCCAUUGUAGCUUAUUCUAAAAAUGACUAAUUACAUACCUCUAUUUCAUCUUAUUAUCUCUAUGUACC